UACGUAGGGUGCGAGCGUUAAUCGGAAUUACUGGGCGUAAAGCGUGCGCAGGCGGUUGUGCAAGACAGAUGUGAAAUCCCCGGGCUCAACCUGGGAACUGCAUCCGAUACUGGAUGGCUUGAAUUCGGGAGAGGGAUGCAGAAUUCCAGGUGUAGCGGUGAAAUGCGUAGAUAUCUGGAGGAAUACCGGUGGCGAAGGCGGCAUCCUGGACCGACACUUGACGCUGAGGAGCGAAAGCCAGGGGAGCAAACGGG
rnacentral:rRNA from 1 species